GAUGAACGCUGGCGGCGUGCCUAAUACAUGCAAGUCGAGCGAACAGACGAGGAGCUUGCUCCUCUGACGUUAGCGGCGGACGGGUGAGUAACACGUGGAUAACCUACCUAUAAGACUGGGAUAACUUCGGGAAACCGGAGCUAAUACCGGAUAAUAUAUUGAACCGCAUGGUUCAAUAGUGAAAGACGGUUUUGCUGUCACUUAUAGAUGGAUCCGCGCCGCAUUAGCUAGUUGGUAAGGUAACGGCUUACCAAGGCAACGAUGCGUAGCCGACCUGAGAGGGUGAUCGACCACACUGGAACUGAGACACGGUACAGACUCCUACGGGAGGCAGCAGUAGGGAAUCUUCCGCAAUGGGCGAAAGCCUGACGGAGCAACGCCGCGUGAGUGAUGAAGGUCUUCGGAUCGUAAAACUCUGUUAUUAGGGAAGAACAAAUGUGUAAGUACCUAUGCACGUCUUGACGGUACCUAAUCAGAAGGCCACGGCUAACUACGUG
rnacentral:rRNA from 1 species